UCAAUAAGCGGAGGAAAAGAAACUAACGAGGAUUCCCCUAGUAACGGCGAGUGAAGCGGGAACAGCUCAAAUUUGUAAUCUGGCGGCCCCCCCAGGCCGUCCGAGUUGUAAUCUGGAGAAGCGUUUUCAGUGCCGGCCCGCGUACAAGUCCCCUGGAACGGGGCGUCGCAGAGGGUGAGAAUCCCGUCUCUGACGCGGCCUGCCGGCGCGCUGCGAUGCGCUCUCGAAGAGUCGAGUUGUUUGGGAAUGCAGCUCAAAACGGGUGGUAAAUUCCAUCUAAAGCUAAAUACUGGCGAAAGACCGAUAGCGAACAAGUACCGUGAGGGAAAGGUGAAAAGCACUUUGGAAAGAGAGUCAAACAGUACGUGAAAUUGUUGAAAGGGAAACGCUCGGAGUCAGUCGCGUCUCCCGGGACUCAGUCGCGCUCGGGCGCGGCGUACUUCCCGGGUCAGGACGGGCCAGCGUCGAUUUCGACCGUCGUAAAAAGGCGAGAGGAACGUGGCACCUUCGGGUGUGUUAUAGCCUCGCGUCCGCAUGCGACGGUGGGGGAUCGAGGGAUGCAGCGUGCCCCCCCUUUCGAGAGGGGGCCGGGGUUCGCCCACGUAACGCGCUUAGGAUGCUGGCUUAAUGGCUUCGAGCGACCCGUCUUGAA
rnacentral:rRNA from 2 species